UACGGAGGAUCCAAGCGUUAUCCGGAAUCAUUGGGUUUAAAGGGUCCGUAGGCGGUUUUGUAAGUCAGUGGUGAAAGCCCAUCGCUCAACGGUGGAACGGCCAUUGAUACUGCAAGACUUGAAUUAUUAGGAAGUAACUAGAAUAUGUAGUGUAGCGGUGAAAUGACUUAGAUAUUACAUGGAAUACCAAUUGCGAAGGCAGGUUACUA
rnacentral:rRNA from 1 species